AAUGACUUGAUUUCUCCAUGUGCCAUACUUUACUUAACUUCAAAGACCCUAGAGGUAAUAUGUUAUAAGGUUUAUUUCUAAUUAAUAAUAAGGAAUCCCAAAUGUGAUACAAAUGUCUGUUCUUCAAAAUGUGCAAACAAUUAACUUAAACGUAUUUGUUU